AUGCAACUCCAGUCCUUUGCCACCCUGCUCCUGCUCCGCCACAACCUCCCAAAUCGGUCGCCACAAGAAAUGGGAAGGCGCCGCCGGUUCGCUCUGCAGUACACCAGCGACGACGACGACGACAAUGCUGCACCCGAGGCGCCCAAAACCACAGUCCCCGACUCCUCGCGCCACAAGAAGCAGCAGCGCCGCUACCGCGACGACGAUGACGACGAGGCGGACCUGGAGCUCGCGGAGGAGGAAGAGCAAGAGAUGAGGAGAAACGAGGAGGAGGAGACGCAGGCCCGCAAGCCCGCGCGCCCUGCUGAGAACAGCGACGGGGAGCUGGGCCACAAGGCGGAAGCGGAUGAGGAGGGGGACGACGGAAAUGGUUCGGAUGCGGUGCCCUUGGGCAACCCCGUGGAGGUUCCUGGCGAGGGGAAGCACUACUCCUCCUUCGAAUACGAGGGCAACAUCUACAAGCUCGAGGAUUCGGCGAUGUUCUCGCCUGAUCUGGAGAACGACAAGCCCUAUGUCGGCAUCAUCAAGGGUAUAAUUGAAAUUGAUGGGAGCUUAUCCGUAAGUGCUCAGUGGUUUUAUAGACCAGAAGAAGCCGAGAAAGAGGGUGGUGACCCAAGGGAGUUAUUUUAUAGUUUUCAUAUUGAUGAAGUGCCAGCAGAGUCAGUUAUGCACAUGUGUGUGGUCCAUUUCAUUCCUGAGCACAAGCAGGUGCCAAGUAAAAAGGAACACCCUGGAUUCAUUGUCCAACAGGUGUAUGACCACAGAGAGGAGAAGAUGUAUAAAAUAACGGAUAAGGACUAUGAGGAUGACAAGCAGCAUCAGAUUGAUCUCCUUAUUAUGAAAACAAUAGACCGUAUUGGGAGGCUUCCAGAUCGUGAUCCUGAAGAUAUACCUGGUGACAACACUGAUAAAUUAUCAAGACGAGGCUUGCGGAAGAGACCUCUGAAGCCUAAAGAUGUUCCAAGAGAUGCUUCUACAGGCAUAUCUGAGCAAUUCAGAAAAGAAGAUACACCCGUGAAUGAUAAUCUGAAGUAUUUUGCCAUCCUUGUCAGACAUGAAGUGAUUACUGGUAACCAGUAUCGUGAUUGGUGGCUUGAUAAAUUUGUAGACACUAUUCUGGCACUCCCUCAUUCAAGAAAUGAUAAUGAAAAUUCUUAUGCACCUAAUGAGGUUGUUCCAAUAGUAGCCUCCUUAGAAAGAUCAACUUUUGAAGCUCUUCAUGCAGACUACCAUAAAUAUAACCAGAAAAUGAGAACAUUAUUGUUCAAUAUCAAGAAAAGUUCUGUACUGUGCAAGCGACUAAUGGACAAGGCACUUGAUCCUCCCGUUCUGUUAACGAUGACCCCUGACGAACUAAAGGCUGGGUUGACACCAGCAGAGAUAGCGUCUGAAUCAGAAGAAUCAAGGCAGCUGCAGAUGACUGAGGCCCGGUGUAGAAGAUGCACGGAAAAGAAAGUAGGCAUACUUGAUAUCAUUCAUGCCAGCCGUGGAGAUCGCUAUCAGGUCGAAUGUAUUUCCUGCGGAUACACAUCAUUUGCGUCCAGAGAUGACAUCUUAAGAAAUGGCUAG
rnacentral:rRNA from 1 species